rnacentral:rRNA from 1 species
UACGGGGGGGGCAAGCGUUGUCCGGAAUUACUGGGCGUAAAGGGCUCGUAGGCGGCCAACUAAGUCAGACGUGAAAUCCCUCGGCUUAACCGGGGAACUGCGUCUGAUACUGGAUGGCUUGAGAUUGGGAGAGGGAUGCGGAAUUCCAGGUGUAGCGGUGAAAUGCGUAGAUAUCAGGAGGAACACCGGUGGGGUAGACGGCUAUCUGGACCGUAACUGACGCUGAGGCACGAAAGCGUGGGUAGCAAACAGG